UACGUAGGGUGCAAGCGUUAAUCGGAAUUACUGGGCGUAAAGCGUGCGCAGGCGGUUUUGUAAGACCGAUGUGAAAUCCCCCGGGCUUAACCUGGGAACUGCAUUGGUGACUGCAAGGCUUGAGUGUGUCAGAGGGAGGUGGAAUUCCGCGUGUAGCAGUGAAAUGCGUAGAUAUGCGGAGGAACACCGAUGGCGAAGGCAGCCUCCUGGGCCAGCACUGACGCUCAUGCACGAAAGCGUGGGGAGCAAACAGG
rnacentral:rRNA from 1 species